rnacentral:rRNA from 1 species
UACGUAGGGGGCUAGCGUUGUCCGGAAUCAUUGGGCGUAAAGAGCUUGUAGGCGGUUUGUCGCGUCUGCUGUGAAAUUUCGGGGCUCAACCCCGAACUUGCAGUGGGUACGGGCAGACUAGAGUGUGGUAGGGGAGACUGGAAUUCCUGGUGUAGCGGUGAAAUGCGCAGAUAUCAGGAGGAACACCGGUGGCGAAGGCGGGUCUCUGGGCCGAUACUGACGCUGAGGAGCGAAAGCGUGGGGAGCGAACAGG